CGGCCCGGUAGUCCAGUGGUUAGCACGUCGACUUCACAGUGCAGAGGUACCGGGUUCGAUUCCAGCUUCGGCCUCCCUGUGUGGAGUUUGCAUGUUCUCCCCGGGCCUGCGUGGGUUUUCUCCGGGUGCUCCGGUUUCCUCCCACAUUCCAAAAACAUGCAUGGCAGGCUGAUUGAACACUCUGAAUUGUCCCUGGGUGUGAGUGUGAGUGCGAAUGGUUGUUCGUUUCUGUGUGCCCUGCGAUUGGCUGGCAACCGAUUCAGGGUGUUCCCCGCCUACUGCCCGAAGACAGCUGGGAUAGGCUCCAGCACCCCCCGCGACCCUAGUGAGGAUCAAGCGGCUCGGAAGAUGAAUGAAUGAAUAAAAUAAAAUAACAGUCUAGUUUUAGGGCAAUGCAGAAGCUAGAAGGUGUAUGAUGCGGUUACCAGCGGGUUGAACUGAUGUAUUUUGUCUGAAAAAAUGGCUUUUAGCCAUGUAAAUACAUUUGUGGGUGGUUGGGGGGGGGGGCUUCAGGCCUGUCUCAUUUGCAUCACUGAUCAGGAACUGGCAUUGUUUAAAUGUGACUUCACAAUCUCAUGACGUACAAAAACCUGACAUUUGUUGUAUGCUUUUCCCUGGAGAACUGGAGCGUGUGAUGAGGAGCAAAAUUAAGUAUUGAAUGUGCAGUGGGCGUGGUGGCAUGAGUUGAAUUUUGAGACAGGAGUUUGGGAGACAUGCUCUCAAAAGCCCCUCCAAUGAUUCCUAUCCUGUUUGGAUGGUGGCUCACUUCCAAGUUGUUGUGGUUUCAACUCGAAAUGUUUCCCAUCCAUCCCUUUUCGAUAGCGUUUGCCCUCAUAAGCGUGUUGCUGGAGUCAAGCCCAGCUGAAUUUGGGUCAGAGGCGAGCUACACCCUGGAUUGGAUGUCAGACAAUUUGAAAUUUGCAAACGGCCCCAUUCUAACUUGCGUGAAGGUUAAAACCUCUGCGCAGUAAAAGUACACUAAAUGCUGCUAAUUGUUAGCUAUUUUGCUUUUAGCUAUGUGCCGUUUACAUCAGCAGUUUUUUGGAUCCAAUUCAUCUUUGUAUUGUACCUAAUUAACUGAGCAGUCAGGGUCUUUUAGCGUCACAAGAAGGAAAAAAAAAAGAAAAAUACCAGGAUUUCCAUUUCUGAUGUCACCCAUGGCGGGUGUUUUUGAAGUUGUAACUCAAAUUUGUUCGCCUCAUAGCAUAAAGGACCAAGUCUUUUUUUGUUUGUCGUUUUAACAUGUUCGGAAAACAAGAACAGUCCUCAGUAAACUCGAUUGUUCGCAAUCUACAUGUACUUAAAGAAGCAAGCACAUUGAUGUAUUGGAGUGAAAUCAAGACAAUAAAUGUAACUUGGGCAAUUUAGCGAUGAGGCUAACACAAUUGUACCACCUUUCAGACUGUUCAUUGUAUUGACUCUUGUAUCCUUGCGUAACCUCAACUUGAUGAUCACAAACACAGCAGGGCUUUUUGUUGUUUUUAUUUUUUGGAAAGAUGUAAUGGACACUCAUGUACUCAUAAUGGCACGGGGUAAUACUUCCUGUUCUCUUCCUACGCUGAAUGGGACACCAUUGACACCUCCUCCCUGAAUCACAAAUGCCAAGAGAGUCUUCAAGCUUUGAUCUGGAUUUGUGCAAAUGGCAGAAGAGAAAAGGCAUGGUUAUUUGAGCACAGUAUGGUGUUACACUAGGGGGUUAAUAAAGAGAGGUGUGUAUGCGG